rnacentral:rRNA from 1 species
AGAGUUUGAUCCUGGCUCAGGACGAACGCUGGCGGCGUGCCUAAUACAUGCAAGUCGAGCGAAUCAAUGGGAGCUUGCUCCCUGAGAUUAGCGGCGGACGGGUGAGUAACACGUGGGUAACCUGCCUGUAAGACUGGGAUAACUUCGGGAAACCGGAGCUAAUACCGGAUAGUUUCUUUUCUCGCAUGAGAGAAGAUGGAAAGAUGGUUUCGGCUAUCACUUACAGAUGGACCCGCGGCGCAUUAGCUAGUUGGUGAGGUAACGGCUCACCAAGGCGACGAUGCGUAGCCGACCUGAGAGGGUGAUCGGCCACACUGGGACUGAGACACGGCCCAGACUCCUACGGGAGGCAGCAGUAGGGAUCUUCCGCAUGGACGAAAUCUGACG